AUGAAAAAGAGUAACACCUCAUCUGCCUUGACACAGCUGAGAAACAGAAAGUAUAUAAUGAAUAAUCACAAUUGGACAGGAGUCACGGGCUUACAGGUGACACACCAUUCUCUCGAGAAAAGAUGCUGUUUUACACACAAUUCUAAAUGGUCUCAUUCAGCUUUCCAGGGACAAAGUGGAAGUGGCAAAAGAAUCGUAAUGACAUGUCCAGGCUGGGGCAGAUGGCAAGAGGAGAGGGAACAGAGAAACGAAGCAGCAAACAAGAGCUCAAAAAGCACCCAAAGGUCAGGACCAGCCGGCAGAAAGAUGCAAACAUCUCUACACAUCAAGUGAAGAAACACCAACGUACAUCAACACAGUAUCAUGAUCACAGCUUUUAUGAAUAAACAACAACAAAGAAAGAUAGGAAAGGUCUCCAACAAAAGAUGAUGGACUAAAUAUAAAUUUUCCCUCCAGUUAUUCCAGAUAUCCCAUGGACAUAAAAACAGUUCAUACAGAAAAAGAAUAAUAAGAGCAAAGAAAAUAACGGCAGAGAUGGGGCACUACCGGGGCCAGGAAAUGGGAGGGCAUACUACUAGGCGCAAGAUGGGCUCGAGGAUGUACUGUGCAACGCAGGGGAUGCAGCCAAUGUUUCGUAAUAACUGUAAAUCGAGAGGAACCGCUAAAUUAUAAUAAAAUUAAAAAUAAUACACACACCAGAAGUGGAGAUGAGUGGUACAGAGAGAAAAGUCAACAAGCUUAUGAAAGACGAAAAUAGGUAUGAAAUUGCUUGAUAUAACAAGCAGAGAAAGCCACAGACUCAUUCUAUCCUAUAAGAGGGAUAGAAAAGGGCGAGAACCAAUAUAUCUGACAGAAUCCCAGAGAAGCAUUAUUGCAAAGUAAAUAGUUCAGCAAAGGGUGGGAAUAAAUAGUGGGGCUAAAAAUAGGAGAAUUAUAUAUUACCUGACUGACUGUUUAAGGGACAGCUCCAUUUCCCAACACUCAUCUCCAAGCAGCACCUAAACUGGCAUUUACUCCCUGGCAAAAUGACAGCUGGCCUUUCUCUAAAGAAAGUGAAUACCUGUCUAGGGGAUGCUGGCACAGAUAAUAAAGUGCUUCUAACCUGUAUACUGUCAUCAUCGGAGAAGGCAAUGGCACCCCACUCCAGUACUCUUGCCUGGAA
rnacentral:lncRNA from 1 species